rnacentral:ncRNA from 1 species
UUGCAGCGGGGGCAAACCCCGAGUAAUCGGGGGGCGCAAAGUUAUGCGUCCAGCACUAAUUUUUCCAAAAUUAGUGCUGGGUGGGCAAACUGCCGAA